rnacentral:rRNA from 1 species
GAGUAAUAUAUAGGUAACGUGCCCUAGAGAGGGGGAUAACAUUUGGAAACGAAUGCUAAUACCCCAUAUGCCUUUAAGACUUAAGUCUGCAAGGGAAAUAUUUAUAGCUCUAGGAUCGGCCUGUACGGUAUCAGUUUGUUGGUGAGGUAAUGGCUCACCAAGACUAUGACGCCUAACUGGUUUGAGAGGAUGAUCAGUCACACUGGAACUGAGACACGGUCCAG